rnacentral:lncRNA from 1 species
ACACUCAUUCAGAGUUUCUCUGAAGCCUCAGAAAGCCCUGACUCUAAAGACAGACAGCAUCGUCUUCUGACUCCAGUCUGGAUUCCAGAGAAUGUCAGUGGCUGGACUGGCCUCUCUGCUCCUCCCUGCACUGCUCUGCCACCUCUGCUGGAGUUCUUGGCCUCUCUGUCCCUUUGUUUCUUCAGUGAUAAGGUAUGUUAGGGGCACCAGAUAACUUGAUCUCUGGAAAGCACUGAGAACAACCCCAGUAUUUAGCGAGCACUUCUCAGUGUUUGUUAAAUGGAGUGAACUGCUUUGGAGAAAGGACUUAGCAUUUUCUUGGCAGAUGUGCUGGGCAUACUUAAUAUUAUUUCAGUCAUUCUUAUGAAUCUUAACUAAUGCUGGUCUCCUCGAGAGUCACCACUCAGAAUAAAUAAUGUGUCCUUCCUUUGUUUCUUCACCAGCACUCACCACAGGUCCCCUCGGAGGAGGGCCCUGUGCUCCGCUUCACCCUUUGUGGCCCAGGUUUCUCUUUGUGCCUGGCACACAGGAGGCAUUCAGUAAACAGUUGUUUAAUUAAUUUCAUAUUGUCUGAGGGUGGCAAUUUGCAAAGAAAAAGGAAGGCGAUGUUCUCCUUUAGAAAGAGUUUGUUUGGGCCGCGUCUGCCUGCACUUUACAAAAGCAAAGUGUCUUCUGGUUCCAUUACAUCACCCAGCCAAUUAAUCAGCACUUGAAUGAGUCUCCAGACAGAGCCUUCAUUUUGUCUACUUAUUAACUUUCAUUAUGUGCACAGCUAAAGUGUAAUUGUGAGCAGGAUGGAUUAUGCUGUAAACUUUUUUCCUAUUACACCAUUCCUUCACAAAUCCCCUUAUUAAAGUGUUCCAGGGGUGAUAUAUUAUGUUAAGAAGGUUUAAAACAUAAGGUGACAAUGACCUUCCCUUUAAUUAACUAUGAUGGAGACAAAGGUUAGAACAAUGAUGAUGAGCUGGGCUGAGCACCAUAAAUCACCUCCACGCGGAAGACAGGACACAGCUACAAAAAUAACCUUGCGACUCACAGGUUAAGUGAGCAUCCCCACACGCUGUCCCCCACCAGUACUUCUCUGAACACAGCCCCACUGUGUCUCAGGCACAGCAGCUCUGCAGGGGAGAGUACCGAUACCACCUCCUCCAAGACCAAUCUCAAAAACUUAGCUCUGUUAAAGUGUUUAAAACAAUAACAACAACAACACCAAUAACAUUAUCAAGUGACUUUCAGUUU